rnacentral:lncRNA from 1 species
AAACUCCUCGGCUCCCGGCGCCGCCGCCACCGCCGUGGUCCCCACUCGAAGCGCACGCCGCCUCGGCUCGCUGGCUCCAGGGAGUCGUCUCGGCGGGACAGGAAUAGAGCGCAGGGAGCUCGGGAGGAAGGCUGCGCGCAAGCGAGGGACGGAGAGCCAUCGGCCGCCAGGACAGGGCCGGAGGGACGAGGCGACACGCGCGCGACGCAGGACAAAUCGGAGCUUGGGAAAUCUCCCCGUCCCCCAAGCUUCAGAGGGGGGUAAAAUCAGAAAAUGUGUGUGAUGGUGGGAGAGAGAUCCGGGCGCGGCGACUCCUCGCAGCGCAUCCGGCUCCCGCACCCACCCGUGGAUCUGGCCACGGCUGUUGCGGACUCGUCUCGGGAAAGCGGAGGCCGAGCGCGCGUAGGGGUGCGUGUCUGGCUGGGGGUGCGCAGGCGAUCGUGGAGAGCGCAGAGAGAGGCGUGAAGGGGCCUACGGGCAGGCGAUCUCGCCUCCUCACAGUCGCCACCGCCCCCGCCCCCAUUUGACUUAUGCAAAUAAACCCAAAGGGUGCGGGCGCCGCCGGAGCUCCCUCCACCCGCGCGCCGGCCCGCAGCCCCCACCCAUCCCAGAGCUGGGCCUCGACCCGGGGGGGAGAGGAAGAGAGGGGAGGGCUGGGGGAGAUGCACGUGGAGCCUGGAGGUGGAAAGUAGUUGUUUUUUUUUUUCCAUUUUUUUUCUCUUUUUCUUUCUUUCUUUUUUUUUUUUUGUGCUGGUUGUUGUUGUUGUUUAAAGUGGCGGAAACAAGACAGGAGGCGGCUUGGGAAAAAGUGGAGCAGAAAUGGAAAAAUACAAACUCACCCGCUGCAAAUGGUCUCUCGGUGCAAACUAAGGUGUUUUCGGGCCUUUCCCCGCGCGCGCCCACUCCCGCCCGCGCGCGCACCCCGCGCACACACUCACUCGCGCACACACGCGCGCACACACGCACUCCCGGGCGAGGGCCGGGCCGCCGCGAGUACAGCGUGCAACCGCCACACAAUAAAUAACAAUAGAUUCCUCCGCUCCGGACUAGCUUCCCGGAGCCCAGCCAGCGCCGGUGGCGGCGGCGGCGGCGGCAGAGGCGCGGGCAGCACCGGCCCGGGGGCGCACCCCGGCCCGACCCUCUACCUCCCGCAGGGGUCCCCUCUCCGCUUCACGCACCCCGCUGGGCACUCCAGCGGCCCCCCGAGCGGGAGCGGCUCCCUCUUUGCCGUUCGCCGGGGCGCUGGCGCCCACCCCCCUCCUCCCUCCCCCCUCCCCCCCGACAUCCCGGAACAAAUAAAUAAAUAAGGCGCGCGAGAGAGGCCAACACGUCGCGGAGGGAGAUGUUGUUAUUUUUUGCUGUUGUGCGUCCCUGACGUCACAUCCACCUGCUGGGUAAACAACCGGGCUCCCAGAAAAAAAAAAUCGCAAUUGCCAAAGAAUGGGGGGGGGGGUUGGGGGGAGGGAUCCAGGGAGGGGGAAGUGAGGGGCGUCCAGGCAGGAUUGGAAAGAGGAGAGGGAGGCAGAGCCCCGCGGACCAGAGAGAGGAAGGGAACGCCAGAGCAGUCCCUGGCAACAGAGGGAUCUGGCAGGAAAGACCUGGAAAAUAAGGGGCAGGGGGGCGGAGGGGGAGAUUCCUCAGGAGAUGGGAAAUGGGGGGCCCAUUCAGACAGCGGAAAAAACGAGAAGGGAGAGUGUUAACUAGGGACGAAGAUGGGAAUGCGAUGGCUAUUUGCUUGGAUUCUGAGCUAAAAAUAUGAAAGGGAGGGGAGAGGACAGGCUAGAAUGUGAGUUUCCUCCAGUUAAAAGUGAAAGUGUUUUGCCAUCAGUGACAGUUGAAGGAGAGCGGGGUGGGAGGUGGUGUUUUCAACCCCCUUUCUCCCUCUCUCCCGUCCUCCCUCGGUCUCUCCUCUUUCUUUCUGCACUUUGUCCAAUGAAAGAAGGCGAGUUCGGGAGGUGAAAGUUCAGCAGAAGGACAAACCCCUGUUUGCAAGGAAACAGAAACCCCGCCAGCCAGCGAGGGGUUUUCUCCCCUGUUUCUCGGAAUCAGGAGAGUGUGAAUGUGGGACGAGCUUCUGCCCCCUUGUCAGAGCCACUGCAGGAAUGUGCAAUCGAGUCCACUUUGGGGGAAGGUGGCUGCAUCAGGAACUGUGUUCUUGCCACGACUCCUCUUAGGAAAACGCCUGGGGGCUAGCAUGUCAGUCCGUUGUUUAACACAAAUUACCUGCUCUCCCAGUGAUCAGUCACGUGCAAAAAGCUUUGUCCAAUUCUUUGAAAAGGUGAGAUUUUUUUUUUUCUUUUUGCGGUUUUUGAAGUUUGGUUGAAUUUAGAAAUUCGAAGGAAUAAACUAAGAGCCUGAAUUAAAUGUUUUGAAAUAUACAUACAUAAAACAAAAGACACUAGUAUUUCUUUCACUUUUAUCAAUACGCAUAGAGAAGGAAGCAGAGUAUGUGUUUCCAAAACGUGACUUGGAAAGCUGUAAGACCUCUAUGUCUUGUUGUUGUUGUUGUUGUUGUUGUUAACAGAAGUAAAUUUUUUCAGACCCACCACCACAGAAGUGGCCAGACUCCCAAACCAGCAUUUCCAGCUACUGGCUGGCUGGUGUACACCAGGCCAAUUCUUUAUGAGAAUAUAUUAAAAGUCACCCCUGUGGAUUCCUACAAAGUACUUCCCCUUGCGGGGAGGGGAGAGGCUUACUGUCCCUUUGGUCUUGAGACCAGCACAGUUGUAGAUAAUAUCCUGAAAAGGUUAUUAUUAAAUUCUUUCGCGUAAUGCCCCUUUACAAAUAUUGUUAAACAUUAAUUUACAGAAGAACUUAAAUCUUAAUUUCAAGGGUGGCAUAAGACUAUCGCUUUGAAAUUGUAUCUUUCGCAAGUUAAAAAAAAAAAAUAACAAAGCCAUUCGCUGAUGCUACAGAAUAAAAGAAAGGGAGGCUGCUAAGGUAAUUUCAGCCUGGUAGAAUUCACAUUGCAUGCAUGCUGCAUAAAGUUCCAUGCUAUCCAGAUAAGACUAUUCACUGAAUCUUUUAGACUAGAAUCUAGACCAAUAAAAUGCAUUUUAGUUUGUAUGGAAUGUCCUAGCUUCCUAGAGGCUAGGGUUCGACGUCUUGUUUGUCAAGACAUAAAGGGAUUAAUGACAUACCCACUGUGUGCUAGACCACAGAGUGGGCACAGAGGGAUGAAAAAAUAAAAAUUCCUGCCCUUGAGGAGCUCACAGUCUAAGCUGUCAAUAAUAACAUCUAACAUUUAUUAAAUACUAUGAUCUAGGCACUGAACUAAAAGCUUUAUGUCAACUCAGUUAAUACUGCCAACAACUCUUUGACAUCACUGGAAAUUCCAUAUGCUGAAUUCACACGGAAUUAAGUGGAAAUCUACAAAGUAGCCAGUCUACUGGUUCUGUAGUGGUCAACCUAUUAAAAAUGGUUUUUAAUUUCUAAAGUACUUUAUGCCAAAUAUAACAUGUUUAUGGUAUAUGCCUGACUGUAGAAUUAUAACUCAGGGGAAUAACGACUUAUUUAAAUGUAACAGAUCUAUUCAUAGUCUGUAAAGAACAAUUCAUCCUCUGAUCUUGUUUUUCAGAUUAAGCAGUGUGUUUAUUAAAAAUUAUUAUCAUCGCAAUACUAAAAAGAUCUUUAGAUUGCUGCUAAUCUGAUUCUGCAUUUUAACUGCCUUAAAUUCUACAUUCACUUGCAAGUGGGGGCCACAGUCAGGUUGGCAACAAGUUUUGCAGACAAAAGGAAAUCCUGGUUGUAAAUCCCAUGAUAUAUUGUACUCAAUUUUGUAUGAUACUGUCUAAUGUGCUGUGCUGCCUUAUUAAAGAACUCGAUGUCCAUUUGGUUUACAUUAGAGGGAAACUUAACUGCAGCUUAACAUAUUGUUCAUUUUCAACACUGUCACGUUACAUUCGUGGGGGGCAGAUUUUAAUUUCUUUAUCAGUAAUCAACUGGAAGUUUCUUUUUGUUAAAUUAAAGCAAGAAAGGUUUUAAAAUAAAGGGCAUGGGGGUAGGACGCCACCUUUUGGUGAUAAAACAAAUAGAAAUCCCUUCUGAAAACAGAUGUUCCUGACAUAAUUUUAUUUUUAAUUACACCAAGGCAAAGGUGCUUGUCCCCAUUUCGUUAUAUUUUAAGUAACAGGAGAAAAAAAAAACCAAUGUAAAUGCAAAAUUAGCAAAUUAUAGUUAACUGCAGCCAAAAUUUUCCCAAACGUAUCAGAAUAUGUUAGUCCCCUGUCACAUUACUGUUGAUUGUAUACACCAAACAUGAGCUUCAUUCACCAAAUACCAUGUCACUAAAUAUAUGUACAUUUGGGGAACAGAAACUGGAGUGGACAUUUACCACCUGACGACGUACCUGAAUGCUCUUGUAAGUUUUGAGUUGAACAAAAACUAAAACCACUUAAUUUAGUGUUUCUUUAACCACAGUUACUGGUGUCCUGAUUUUUGCCAUAUCUAUAUGACAUAACAGUUCCCGAAUAAUUAAUAUACCAUACUCAUUGGAGGCCACUUAUUAUGGUAAUUGUAGCAAACAUUUUCAUUUAAAUCAACCUUCUUUUAAUUUUUUUCUAUUACUGCCUUAAAUGGGAAAUCAGUAUCACCCACCAUAAAUUAAAAACAAGCACAGUAAAAACAAAGUCACUGAUUUCUCUUUGAGGGUCAAAACAAAAAUUAAAAAUGAUUUUUGAAAAAAGGAGGGAGAGUGGCAAAUGUUGAGAAGGGUUAAGGACAAGAGUAUCAAUGGAAAUUUUUGAAUUUUUGUUUUUUCUCUCUCUUUUUUUCUGUUUUUUUUUUUUUUUUUUUUUUAACAACCAGAAGGAUUUAAAGUGAUCGGAAAGGAAUACAGUUCUCAAUGUGUGAUUCAGUGUUAUGCCAUCCUAGUGCCAAGGUUCCUACACUUUAAAAAACAUGGGCAUAACUAAGAAUAUCGCAUUACAGAUGAGGAAUCUAAGGCCCAGGGAUUUCAUUUGCCCUCCAAGGCAAAAUAAAUUUGGUUACUGGUUGGACAAGGAUUAGAAUCCAGGUGUCCUGACUUUGUGGGUUUCCAUCUCACUCUUUCCACUAAAGUGACCAAUCCUCAGACUUAAGUGGUUUGUCUAGCUUCUCAGAAACAGCUAACCUACAGACCCCUUUACAGAUCUGGGAGAAACUGAGGCCACAGAGGGUCAAGAACAAGUUCAACCCCCUGCUCACCGUCCUUUCUCUCCACCCUCUCUCCAUAGAUGUGACAGACAUCCAGGUGGGGGUCAACACAGCAAAGAAAGAAGGGAGGGUUGAGAAGAGAAAAGUGGAUUCAGAGAGGGGAGGUUAGUAAGCGUGGGCAGACCAUUCUCUAAAUGAAAGCUUAAACUCAGUUGCCUUCCAAGAAGAUAAAAAUGGCUAAUGAAAAUCAUGUGCUUCACAGUAAGUGGUAAGAGGAGCCCAUCCUCUGUGUCCUCAUGUCCCUAUAUGUCCACACCGGAAAUCAGCAGGGGAUCUCUUGUUUUAAAGUAUACAAUAUUAACAGGCACACUCUGAGACAAAACCACAUUUGAUAAUUUGAGUGGGUGGAAAAGCUAGUCAGGGAACGGGGAAUGACCCUAGCUUAAAAAGUGUUUUCCCCCACAACAAAACUUAAGAGGCUCAGAGUUAAAUCUAGAAACAAUAGUGCUUUUUCUGUUUUUCUAACUGGAGAGUGAGACCUUAGUUACCAAGACUGCACUUGCUGCUUUUUUUUAAAGUAUGCAGUUAUAUAAACAUAAAUAAAUAUGGCCUGCAAAUAUUUUUAUGUUUUUCUAAAUUGGUGAUUGUGAAAAGAGGUUGUGCAUGACUGUACUGUAUGAACAUGGGUCUCAGUGGACUGUAAUCCUCAUAAACUACAAGGUACGGUGAAGCAUUUGGCCAAGUAUCAUCAAUCCAAAAAGCUGUUCUAAUGCCCUGAGCAUUCCCAGUGCAACGUUGGUACCUUGGAAACAUGUAAAAGGAGUAUGGGUGGCUCAACCCCAUCUGCUACAGGUACUAGAACAAUCUACAGCCUUACUAUGCAAAAUGAGAUGUGCUGACCUGCAGAGCACCACCUCCAGGUUAUGUCAAAAAUGCAGAAUGUCAGGCCCUACCUCAGACCUAGUGAAUCAAAUAUCUGUAUUUUAAAAAAAUCACCCAGCCAAGUCUCACACACAUUCAAGUUGGACAAAGGUGAUCUAUAGUACAUGUGGCCCCUUAUACAACAGGCUGCAUCUCAAUAUCUUGAUAGCCUUAAACUAUUUCACAGGUAGUCCUGUAAGUCUGCCAUACAUGAUUCUCCAAACUGGCAUCUUUUAUAAACUUUGUUGGUUCCUUAUUUUUCAACCAUUUGCAAAGUUAAGUCACUCAAUCACCUAUGCAAACCAUAAUUAAUUCCUUUGACAUUAAUAGUCCGGUGACUUCUCUCUCCUGUUACCCCAAAGAGACUGCUAAUUGCCCUCCAAUUGUUUACCUUUGUAUUGUUUUAUGAGAGCUCAGAGAAAGAUGGAAGAUACUCUCCACCAGGCCAGAAACAAAUGCCAGACAGGUUUUGAAAAGGCUGAACACAUGCUAUGACUACACCUUGUUAGUAGAAGGGCUUUGCUUUCUUUGUUUUGUUUUCUUUUUUUAUGGAAGGGAUGACGCCUCCAUAAUUAUAGGUGCUGCUGUUUAAAACCCAGAGUGUUUUCCAAACCACUGAGGGGCCACACCUCCAGCAGCCCAUGAGCCAUCCUGGCUGGAUUAUCUUUCCAGUUCUCUAAACAGUUCAUCAAGCAGUACUAGAUUUACAUUAAGCAUAACGAGAGUAAGGGACCCCAUCCAAGUAUGGUUUCUUUCUGAAUAAACAUGAAGGACUCACAGGUAAACCUCACAGCUGAAGGUUAAUUUGUAUCUGUGAAGUUCUCAGAAAGACUGUAGUAAAGGCCCCUCACCCACCUAACAAGACAGCAGGUUACUUUUGUAACACCCCCCCAA